rnacentral:sRNA from 1 species
GUGUGAACUUUGACUAGCAAAGGCGGGGCUUCCAAUGAGCGAUCCAAAACCCGAAAGGCUCCACCUUACCUUGGCUGAGCUAAUCAGCGAACAAAUUGAGCAACGGCAUGCAACCGAGCUGCGGGCCGUGCUGUCAACCGGAAACGAAAUUACCAUGCAUGGAAGGUUCACAGUCGGCAGCGACUUUAUAAUCUACAGAACUGCGAAGGAUAAUAGCGGCAAAUGGGCGAUGACUCCCUUUGCUCAUAUCGUACAGCUGGCAAUCUGAUUUCAGAUCCGGGGUCAUGCCUGAGGGCAUCAUCCGCCACGAAGACAAGGCCACCGGUCGGCUUGUAGCCGACU